GGUAACAGGAAGAAGCUUGCUUCUUUGCUGACGAGUGGCGGACGGGUGAGUAAUGUCUGGGAAACUGCCUGAUGGAGGGGGAUAACUACUGGAAACGGUAGCUAAUACCGCAUAACGUCGCAAGACCAAAAAGGGGGACCUUCGGGCCUCUUGCCAUCGGAUGUGCCCAGAUGGGAUUAGCUAGUAGGUGGGGUAACGGCUCACCUAGGCGACGAUCCCUAGCUGGUCUGAGAGGAUGACCAGCCACACUGGAACUGAGACACGGUCCAGACUCCUACGGGAGGCAGCAGUGGGGAAUAUUGCACAAUGGGCGCAAGCCUGAUGCAGCCAUGCCGCGUGUAUGAAGAAGGCCUUCGGGUUGUAAAGUACUUUCAGCGGGGAGGAAGGGAGUAAAGUUAAUACCUUUGCUCAUUGACGUUACCCGCAGAAGAAGCACCGGCUAACUCCGUGCCAGCAGCCGCGGUAAUACGGAGGGUGCAAGCGUUAAUCGGAAUUACUGGGCGUAAAGCGCACGCAGGCGGUUUGUUAAGUCAGAUGUGAAAUCCCCGGGCUCAACCUGGGAACUGCAUCUGAUACUGGCAAGCUUGAGUCUCGUAGAGGGGGGUAGAAUUCCAGGUGUAGCGGUGAAAUGCGUAGAGAUCUGGAGGAAUACC
rnacentral:rRNA from 1 species